UACGUAGGUGUCAAACGUUGUUCGGAAUUACUGGGCGUAAAGCGCGCGUAGGCGGCUUUUUAAGUCAGGGGUGAAAUCCCGGGGCUCAACCUCGGAACUGCCUUUGAAACUGGAAAGCUAGAAUCCUGGAGAGGCGAGUGGAAUUCCGAGUGUAGAGGUGAAAUUCGUAGAUAUUCGGAAGAACACCAGUGGCGAAGGCGACUCGCUGGACAGGUAUUGACGCUGAGGUUCGAAAGCGUGGGGAGCAAACAGG
rnacentral:misc_RNA from 1 species